ensembl:lncRNA
UUAUAAAAAUAAGUGUGCAGGGGCGCCUGGGUGGCGCAGUCGGUUAAGCGUCCGACUUCAGCCAGGUCACGAUCUCGCGGUCCGGGAGUUCGAGCCCCGCGUCAGGCUCUGGGCUGAUGGCUCAGAGCCUGGAGCCUGUUUCCGAUUCUGUGUCUCCCUCUCUCUCUGCCCCUCCCCCGUUCAUGCUCUGUCUCUCUCUGUCCCAAAAAUAAAUAAACGUUGAAAAAAAAAUUAAAAAAAAAAAAUAAGUGUGCAGAAGAAACACUGAACCGAUAAUCACAUUUAGCUGUGAUUAUCCCUGGGCAGGGGAAUUACGGAAUGUUUUUUCCUUCCUUUAGGUUUCUGCAUUUUGUGCUUGAUGUGCAUUGUCUCUAAGUGACAUGUUUCAUAAGAAGAAGGGUCUGGAGUUUUGAGGAGCGUCAGUGUGCCUUCAGGGUGGGAGCCAGGCCGGGGGCAGCUUGCUCCCAGGACAGCAGCUGAAGAUCUCCCAGUGAGCCUCUAAAAACAGAGCAAAUUGCAGAAGUUGAAGUGAAAACCACGAGACUCUUUCUCUUCUGAAGGGCCUCCUCAGAGAGGAUGUGCCGAUGUAGGACAAUCCCCUCCUCCAGGCAGACCUCCGUCAUGGAUCCUGGCUCUCCAGGAGCCCCUUCCUUACACCUGCAGCCUAUGGUUCUGGGACACAGCACCCCAUCAGCCAGAUACCCUGUCGUGGCCCAAGUCCCCAGCAGCAGCAAGCUGGCAUGCUUGGGUGCAUUACGCCUGAUUUCUGAGCACCGUCCCUGAAGAAAUGACCCUCCGGACUCAGGCUGCCCACUCCUCUCUGGAGAACUUCAUACGUCAGAUCCAAUGUCCGCCGGCCCUGGGCUCAGCCAGCAAGGACAUCAUCUCAGAAUAGAGAACAGUCCUGGCCAAGAGAGCUCCUCGAACCCAUCAUUCUGUCGUCCCAUCAUUCUCAAAGUCCAGGGUACUCAUCAUCUUCCCAUCUCGCCUGGGGUUCGUGAGCAUUUCCCGACACAAGGACCUGGCACCAGGACAGGACGACGUUCCUGGCGUCCUCAGCCUCAUUGGUCAGUCAUCCUAGCACAUGUCGCAAGGAGCCGCGUCACCCCGAGGUGCCCUCACCCCAGCCUGGCACAGCAGCUCAGUCCGUCCCUUCUCUGGUUCUGCAGAAACUCCAUCCCGAAGCCACGGAGUGGGUUGAAGCAAGGUGGAUGUCCAUGCCAGGAGGAAGGCACCACGGAGGAGCACAGUAGAGACGGCACUCCUCAGAGCCUGGCUGAGGUGAGCCUGAAGCCACCGAGAGCCGGCAGAUGAGCAGUGCUGACACACAGGCCCGUUGAAGGGCUCCACUGUCAGAAGCUCCCAAAUCUGAGGAUAUCUGGAAACCUCUGAGCAUCAGGAGAGGUGACGAUGGUAACGGAUGGGGAUCCACUGAGUGAAGUGACAACCAGGAGUCCACACGGAGAGAAAUAACUACAGGAAUCAAUACAUCAGGAGUCAGACGAGAGGCUGGGGCACCUGGGGGUUCAAUCGGUUGCGUGUCUGACUUCGGCUCAGGUCACGAUCUCACCAUACGUGGGUUCGAGCCCUGCAUCGGGCUCUGUGCUGACAGCUCAGAGCCUGGAACCUGUUUCGGAUUCUGUGUCUCCCUCUCUCUCUGCCCCUCUUCAGCUCUCUCUCUCUUUCUCUCUCUCUCUCUCUCAAAAAUAAUUAAACUUUAAAAAAGAAAAGAAAAUACACCCUGAAAUAUUUAGGGGUUAUGGAACAUCAUUUGGGCAACUUAUUCUCCAAGGUUCCAGGAAAGAUUUAUUUGUGCUGCGCUUGUAGUUUUCCUGUAGGUAGAUUAUACUUGAUUACAAAGUCUCUCCAACUUCCUGGGGGGGGGGUGGUGCAUGCCUCCCUGCAGGAGGGGGAUGGGAGCUUCCGAGGAAGCAGGUGUAUUCACCUGGGGAGUCCUGUUCCCGCUCUCUCUAGCACUGGAGGGGUUCCAGGUCACAGGUGUGGCAGCCGCAGUGACACAGGCACGUUCUAGAAGGCCGGUGCGGUGUGCCAGCAUCCUAAAUAAAGGACAGGGAGACCUCA